GGCGGACGGGUGAGUAAUGUAUAGUUAAUCUGCCCUUUAGAGGGGGAUAACAGUUGGAAACGACUGCUAAUACCCCAUACUCCUUUUGCCUUAAUGGUAAUUGGGAAACGUUUUUUCGCUAAAGGAUGAGACUAUAUGGUAUCAGGUAGUUGGUGGGGUAAGAGCCUGCCAAGCCAAUGACGCCUAGCUGGUCUGAGAGGAUGAUCAGCCACACUGGAACUGAGACACGGUCCAGACUCCUACGGGAGGCAGCAGUGGGGAAUAUUGCACAAUGGAGGAAACUCUGAUGCAGCAACGCCGCGUGGAGGAUGACGCAUUUCGGUGUGUAAACUCCUUUUAUAUGGGAAGAUAAUGACGGUACCAUAUGAAUAAGCACCGGCUAACU
rnacentral:rRNA from 1 species